CUGCCUCCUGCACACUCCCUACUGGGGAUGUGCCCGCAACCAAGGUACAUGCCCUUGACCGGAAUCGAACCUGGGACCCUUGAGUCCGCAGGCCGACGCUCUAUCCACUGAGCCAAACCGAUUAGGGCUAGUUUAAAACUUUUAAAUGGACCAGAAUAUGAAUAAUAAAUAAAUUGAUAUGAAGUCAUUAUAGUAAUUAAGGGUCAUCAAAAAGUUAGCCCUGGGAGUUUAACUUGAUGUACUCUUUCUAAAUGAUAAUUUGGCAAAAUAUAUUUUAAUUUAAAUAAAUUUACAUUUUUAUUUCAAACCUGUAGUGUUUUAUCAAAGUACUGGAUGCUCAAGGCUCAGUAAAAAAACAAGUCUUAUAAUGAAAAGCUGUAGUCGGCCCUGGUUGGUGUUGCUAAGUGGUGUCAGCCUGUACACCGAAGGGUCGUGGGUUGGAUUCCUGGUCAAGGGCAGGUACCUGGGUUUCAGGUUCAAUACGAGUGUGGGAGGCAACCAAUCAAUGUCUCUCUCUCCCUCUCCCCCGCCUUCCACUCUCUAAAAAAGUCGAUGGAAAAAUAUCUUUGGGUAAGGAUUAACAAAAAACAAAAAAAAAGAAAGAAGAAAAGCCUCAGUCUGCUUCCCCCCCAGUUACCUUAACCAUUUCUGCUUUACCUUUCUGUGGUUCUACCCAUAUAGAUAAGAAAUAUGUUUAUACCAAACACAUAUGCCAGUUUUGAUUUAUCAGUUUUAGAAUUUAUAUAUUGACUCCUCUAGAUAAUAGGUAAGGAUUGAAUUUCUAAAGUAUCCAUCUAAUCUCCUGCUACUCUUAAUUUUUUUUAUUAUUAUGACACUAAUUUUAGUUCCUCUAUUGAUUAUUCAUAGCUCUUUGAAGAUUUUUCCCUCUAGGGAUUUAUCGCAUGGGGAUAAAGAAUCGGGGACUUCCACAGUUUUAUUUAUGAGGUUCAGCAAAGCCAUCAGAAAGUCCCCAAGCCAAAGUCAGCUGUCACAGGAGACCCAUAUGUGCCUUAGUAUUCCUGCCACUCUUGGUUAUUUGCUGGGAGCAGUCCAGGAAAACUGCUCUGCCCAGCUAAAUAUGUCCUGUAGCAGGAACCCAUGGCUGGGCCAGAUCCGCACUCACAGCCCAACUCUGCCCCCCACUCCCUGUGUAACCCUGGGAAGAUGGCCCGCUUCUGUGCCUUGGUUCCUUCAACUGUACGAUGGGAGGAAUAUUUGUCCCAAACCUGGAAGAUUGGAACAGCCUGCUCUUUGAAACGUCCAGCUUAUCCAUAAGAGCAAAGGAAGAAUUUCCAAGAAAUGGAGCACAGCAUGUACUUUGUUUUAAUCCUCACCUGAGGAUAUUGGGGGUUUUUCUUAAUUGAUUUUUAGAAAAAGAGAGAAAGAGACACUUUUUUAAAAUUUUUAUUGAGGGAAGGGGGUGUCCAUAAUUAUUAGACUUUCAUGAUUUAAAAAAAAUAAACUGUUGCAAAAGUCAUAC